CUUAGACUGAGAAACCAAGGACAUCAUUAAGAGAGCUUUACUCCCCUUUACAUAGAGGAGUCACUGUCUUCAUUGUCAGUAUCUUGUGCUACCAUGUGAUCAAUUUGGAGCCUCUGAGUGACUGUCUCUCCAUGUUUUUCUCUGACGCUUUGCUUCUGGUCCUUGUGUAUUUUGGAUGGGAGAACUGAGGAUCAUUAGAAGAUAAGUGACAUGCAUUAUAUCCUGAUUACACAAGUCAUCUUGGCACAAUGAAUAAUGUAUUGGCCUUAUAGUCAGAAAUUUGUGGGUCCAAGUCCAAGCUCAGAAUCUCAAAGACUACCUCAAUGUCCUCUUGUCCUUGUACAGAUUGUGAUCCUGACCUCUGACCAAUGAGAGAGCUUACAAAAGAGGAUCUGGGUUGCUCUGUGCUGAAAGAAAUCAUGAUGGCCUUGGAACUACAGAAGAAAAGCAAUAUUAUUUACUAAGGAGUUGGCUGCAAAGGAGUGCUUUUGGGGACAGUGGGAAAACCACAAUGGUAUGGUAAAUAGAAACAGUAGAGGGGAACUAUAAGUGGCUGGGGGCUAUUGAAGACCUUUUUAG
rnacentral:lncRNA from 1 species